rnacentral:rRNA from 1 species
UGGGGAAUAUUGGACAAUGGGCGAAAGCCUGAUCCAGCCAUGCCGCGUGUGUGAAGAAGGUCUUCGGAUUGUAAAGCACUUUAAGUUGGGAGGAAGGGCAGUAAGCGAAUACCUUGCUGUUUUGACGUUACCGACAGAAUAAGCACCGGCUAACUCUGUGCCAGCAGCCGCGGUAAUACAGAGGGUGCAAGCGUUAAUCGGAAUUACUGGGCGUAAAACGCGCGUAGGUGGUUCGUUAAGUUGAAUGUGAAAGCCCCGGGCUCAACCUGGGAACUGCAUCCAAAACUGGCGAGCUAGAGUAGGGCAGAGGGUGGUGGAAUUUCCUGUGUAGCGGUGAAAUGCGUAGAUAUAGGAAGGAACACCAGUGGCGAAGGCGACCACCUGGGCUCAUACUGACGCUGAGGUGCGAAAGCGUGGGGAGCAAACAGG